ACAGAGUUCCUGGUGUUUUACCUUAUCUCAGUCUGCACUUGUCUGCCCAAGUCUCUCUUAAGAUACGGUGCCAAGGCCCAAGGGCACACGGAAGAUGUGUUCUACCGACGCCGAAGGUCACAGGGCUUGGAGAAUAGCUGUUGUUCCGGGGAAUGCACAAUGAAUAAAGCCCCUUUCCCCAGGAUGUGCUUGCUGUCGCGCAGGAAGCCAUCAUACGCGAAGGCGCUCAUGCCCACAGCUACCAGACUCUGAAGAAGAUGGCAUUUCCUCCCGAUGUUGCCAUCACUUCAUUCCGUCAGCCAAGUUCUUCUUUGUGGCUCAAGGAAUGUUCGCUCUUUGAGAUAUCAUCAACAAAGCAUGUGAAAUUGUCAUAGGCUGAGCUUUCAGGAAAAUCCUAUUGACAACAGCCAAGUGGAGUUUGUUUCUGCUUAUAUACAAAUAUCUGUCAGUUGCUAAAUCUUCCGUCACGUCUGCUGCGUUCUUGGUGUCUCCGACCAGACUGUAAGCUGCUUGAAAAUACAGACCGCCUUCGAAUUGUGUAACCGAGAAAUGCGGGGGAGCGGGCACCGUGUCUUUGAGAUGACCCAGGAGCCGCACAGAGGUGGGGAAAUGAGGGCAGAGAAACCAGCCCAGGCCUUGGGGGCCUCAGAGUCCAGGCAGGACCUGGGUUUCUGAUUGUGCCUCGGAAGUGAAUCAGCACCACCGCCUUCUGUCCUUGGGACGUUCCGCUGAGCACCACCGUGGGAGACGCCAACAGCCGAGCGGGGCGCUCAGCCCGGCCUUGCCCCACGGGCACUCCCAGCAGGACAGACACAGACACACGGCUGGAAGGACCCAUUCUCCCAAGGAAAUUGGCACUGUGUGGACCACGGGCAGGCGGGUGCUGAGCCGCGAGGACCUAGCAGAUCCCCCAUCCACUCCCGGCCUGACCCUGCAUGGCUCCCAGGCAGCCCUCUCGGGCCUCAGCGUGCAAGGCAGCCCCGGGUGGAGGCCCCACCUGGGGUCAUUCAUCAUAGCCUGUGCAUCUACACCGAGUGUGUGUCAGUGUUCCGUAAGCCUCACUCCCAGGGCUGCUGGUGGGGCCUGGCCCCACAGUAGGUGUUUAUCUUGUCCACCCGCUCAGAGCUGUGCUGUUCUGUGCCGUCCUGAGCUGUCCACGCCCAUGACAAACACACGGCUGGUGAGGUCCCUCUCUCCCCGCGGCCCCGGCACCCCACAGUCAGCACAGUCCUGGCCACUGUCGCCUUUUCAUCACAAACACCCUCAUUAGUUAGCGGGGCCAACAGCGUUAUCUUCAGAGGGGUCAGGAAACCCGGUGUUACUCUGGGCUUAGGCUUGGACCCUGCGUUUUGUGGCCCAUGACCUUUAACAUCGACGUGGCCUCUGACGUCUGACAUGUCCAUUGAGCCAGACCUCUGCUAACUUCAGCACAUUCCAGUUUUUAUGAAGCCCAAAUUGAUCAUCUGCUGCAACAGCGUUUGACAUCCUGGUUUCAGGUUCCUUCGUCUAUCCUUGGCCCUAAUCCACAGAUUUCUGGGGACUGUGCCCUAGCCCACAGGAAAAAAAAACAGAUAUAACUAAUGUUACUAAAAUAUUACUAAAACCAUAUUUCAAAAAAUGAAUCUGGGCUGGGCAUGGUGACCCAUGCCUGUAAUCCCAGCACUCUGGGAGGCUGAGGCGGGCAGAUCACGAGGUCAGGAGUUCGAGACCAGCCUGGCCAACAUGGUGAAACCCCAUCUCUACUAAAAAUACAAAAAUUAGCCAGGCGUGGUGGCGGGCGCCUGUAAUCACAGCUACAUGGGAGGCUGAGGCAGGAGAAUCAUCUGAACCUGGGAGGCAGAGAUUACAGUGAGCAGAGAUCACGCCACUGCACUCUAGCCUGGGCAACAGAGUGAGACUCUGUCUCAAAAAUAUAAAUAAAAAGAUUCGGAUCACCCUCAACUCACAGCCAGGUUUAUAAAUGGGGGCAUCUACAUUUUUAGGCCUUAGAACUUGUUUAUAGAACUUACCACAUUCUCCCUGCUAUGGUUUGAAUGUGUCCCCCAAAAAUACAUGUUGGAAACUUCAUCCCCAAGGCAACAGCACUGGGAGGUGGGGCCGUAUGGGGGUUGUUUGAGUCACGAGGGCUCCACCCUCACGAAGGGAUUAAUGCUGAUGCAACUUUGAGCCUGUGCUCUCUCUUGCCUUGUGACUGACACCUUCCACCAUGUCAUGACACGUCAAGAAGGACCCUCGAUCUUGGACUUCCCAGCCUCUGGAACCAUGAGCCAAAUAAACAUUGACUAUUUCUUAAUU